GACGAACGCUGGCGGCGUGCUUAACACAUGCAAGUCGAACGGAAAGGCCCUGCUUUUGUGGGGUGCUCGAGUGGCGAACGGGUGAGUAACACGUGAGUAACCUGCCCUUGACUUUGGGGUAACUUCAGGAAACUGGGGCUAAUACCGGAUAGGAGCUCCUGCUGCAUGGUGGGGGUUGGAAAGUUUCGGCGGUUGGGGAUGGACUCGCGGCUUAUCAGCUUGUUGGUGGGGUAGUGGCUUACCAAGGCUUUGACGGGUAGCCGGCCUGAGAGGGUGACCGGCCACAUGGGGAAUGAGAUACGGCCCAGACCCCUACGGGAGGCAGGAGUGGGGAAAAUUGAAAAAGGGGGGGAAGCCUGAGGCAGCAACGCCGGGGGGGGGAUGAGGGCCUUGGGGUUGUAAACCGCUUUCGCCGGGGACGAAGGGGGAGGGAGGGUAAUGGGUAAAAAAGCAACGGCAAACUACGU
rnacentral:rRNA from 1 species